AAUGUUUAUUGGGUGAUGGAUGGCACCUGUGCUCCUCAGGCAUUUGUGGUGCUGCAGAUGGGAGGUCCAUGUCUGCGUGGGAGCUCACCCUCAUCACAGCAAGGUUAAUAACACAUGGAAUUAUUAGAUUAAGAGGAAUCAUCAAAAUCCAGUGGGCCACUGACACACCCCUUAGGAGGAUCCAAACCACAGGCAGCAGGAUGCUCAGCACGUUGGCUGUAACUCAUGCUCUGUUGUGUAUAAGUCAGUCAUACACUUGCAUGGCUGACUCAAUGCAAUGUUAAAGAAAUUCUAGCCAUUAAAAUAUUUAUACUUGUGAUGCCAUGACACUUUACCAAAAAAAAUCUUCAUUUGGAGAGCAGCAUGUUUCUGUUUCUUUAAGGUGGACUUUGCGUUCUG
rnacentral:lncRNA from 1 species